UUUCAAUGUUAAGCAGAGUUUAUAGAGUUCUUUUUUCUCCAUUCUUCAAGAAAAGAGUCAAAUACGCAAUUGUGGUUUCAUCAACGGAAAUGAAGAAGGAAGAAAUAGAACGAAUCAAUUUGUUGGGUCUUCAAUUUUCUGCAACAGUAGAGUUUUCAUCAACGAACACAAAGAUAAAGUCUUUCUCGUUUUAUACGGUAAUGUUUUUCCAAUUCUUCAUUAUUCAUUCAAUCUUCUGCUUGCUUGCUUGCUUGAAGAAAACAAAUAACAAUCAAAGAACCUUAAUUGAAAAGGUGUUCUUUCACAAGUUCCUGUUUGGUAGUACCUAUUAUUUUGAAAGAUUAUAGACCCAUUUUUUUAGUUUUGAUUAUUCAAGAACAUUCAAUCUUAUGCUUAACAAAAAGGUCAAAUCUUUUACCCAUUCAAUCUUUUGCUUGAGAAAAAAAGUUAGAAUCUUUUACCCAUUUUCUCAAUCUUGAAUAUUCAAGAACAUUUCAAUCUCCUGCUUGAGAAAUUAAAGUUAGAAUCUUUUAGCCAUUUUUCUCAUUCUUGAAUAUUCAAGAACAUUCAAUCUUCUGCUUGAGAAAAAAAGUUAGAAUAUUUUACUCAUUUUUCCCAUUCUUGAAUAUUCAAGAACAUUCAAUCUUCUUGCCUGAGAAAUAAAUUUAAAAAAAACCUUAAAUUGAGCAAAUGUGUGCUAUGUCCGAGACCCUAUUCGGCAUCAAUGUUUUGAAAUCAUAUGAUUAAGGGAUGGUAUUUAAUGACGCCGAGAUGGAAUAUUUUUAUGACCCUAAUAGUGAAAUUGUCGCUGAGAUGAAAGAUUUUGAUGACCCUAAUAGUGAAAUUGUCGCUGAGAUGAAAUUGUAAUCAUAUGAUUACCGGAUGGUAUCAAAUGUCGCUGAGAUGGAAUGUUUUUACGACUCUAAUAGUGAAAUUGUCGCUGAGAUGGAAUGUUUUUAUGACCCUAAUAGUGAAAUUGUCGCUGAGAUGAAAUUGUAAUCAUAUGAUUAGGGGAUGGUAUCUAAUGUCGCUGAGAUGGAAUAUUUUUAUGACCCUAAUAGUGAAAUUGUCGCUGAUAUGGAAUAUUUUUAUGACCCUAAUAGUGUGGUAUACAUGAGCCUAAAAACGUUGGAUGAUGCCUUAAUGCGGAAGUUAGUUGUUGCCUAAAAUACAAUUUUAAUAUGAAAUUUUAUUCAUAAUUUAAGACUUGGAUGGUAUCUACUGUGCUUUGAUAACCUUAGUCCCUAAAUGCAAUUUUGCAAAUGCAAAAUGGAUUGUGACUUGUGUUGGAUUAUCCUACCGGUACAAAGAAACCGACUUUGUAAGGUUUUCAAAGGAAUUCUUUAAGGAAGGAACAAGUCAAGUGAAGCAAAGUACAAAGAAACCAGCUCUUUCGAGUUUGAACUAUUUCUAAUAGUAUCUAUCUGGUAUGUACAAAGAAACCAACUUUUUGUUUGUUACAUAAUGGAGUUUUGCACAUUUUUGGAAUUUUCAUUCCAACAUAUUUGCAUAUUAGCAUUUUUAACUCUUUAUUCAUGAUGCAAAAGUUGGAUGAUGGCUUUCAAUGCAAUUUUCAUACGAAAUUGUAAUCAUAUGAUUAAGGGAUGGUAUCUAAUGUCAGUGAGAUGAAAUAUUUUUAUGACCCUAAUAGUGAAAUUGUCACUGAGAUGAAAUAUUUUAUUCAUUAUCUAUGAAGGGUGGUGUGGUAUACAUGAGCCAACUCUUUCGACAAUAAGAUAAAUAUACAUGAGCCUGAAAACGUUGGAUGAUUCCUUAAUGCGAAAG
rnacentral:lncRNA from 1 species